rnacentral:rRNA from 1 species
AGAUGAGCGGCGGACGGGUGAGUAAUGCAUAGGAAUCUACCCAGUAGUGGGGGAUAACCUGGGGAAACCCAGGCUAAUACCGCAUACGUCCUACGGGAGAAAGGGGGCUUUGGCUCCCGCUAUCGGAUGAGCCUAUGCCGGAUUAGCUGGUUGGUGAGGUAACGGCUCACCAAGGCGACGAUCCGUAGCUGGUCUGAGAGGAUGAUCAGCCACAUCGGGACUGAGACACGGCCCGAACUCCUACGGGAGGCAGCAGUGGGGAAUAUUGGACAAUGGGGGCAACCCUGAUCCAGCCAUGCCGCGUGUGUGAAGAAGGCCCUCGGGUUGUAAAGCACUUUCAGCGAGGAAGAACGCCUAUCGGUUAAUACCCGUUAGGAAAGACAUCACUCGCAGAAGAAGCACCGGCUAACUCCGUGCCAGCAGCCGCGGUAAUACGGAGGGUGCAAGCGUUAAUCGGAAUUACUGGGCGUAAAGCGCGCGUAGGUGGCUUGAUAAGCCGGUUGUGAAAGCCCCGGGCUCAACCUGGGAACGGCAUCCGGAACUAUCAGGCUAGAGUGCAGGAGAGGAAGGUAGAAUUCCCGGUGUAGCGGUGAAAUGCGUAGAGAUCGGGAGGAAUACCAGUGGCGAAGGCGGCCUUCUGGACUGACACUGACACUGAGGUGCGAAAGCGUGGGUAGCAAACAGGAUUAGAUACCCUGGUAGUCCACGCCGUAAACGAUGUCGACCAGCCGUUGGGUGCCUAGCGCACUUUGUGGCGAAGUUAACGCGAUAAGUCGACCGCCUGGGGAGUACGGCCGCAAGGUUAAAACUCAAAUGAAUUGACGGGGGCCCGCACAAGCGGUGGAGCAUGUGGUUUAAUUCGAUGCAACGG